GAUAAGCUAAGAACCCUCCAUCCAUUAGAACCGCUAUGUGCUUUGGUAGGUUCCCCAUCAUGAGAAUUUGUGAAUUGAAGCCACCUAGCAUAUUUCCUGUACAUGAUGUCCUUAGUUCCAUUGUAAUGCCAGGUGCUGCUCCCGUUGUAUCUGUGAAUAGAUUUUUGCAUUGAGGCAUGAAAGAUUCAACGGGAUUUUCCUCUUCUAUUAUCUCUUCUUUUGCCCACCAUGGUUUGUACGAGGCCUCUUUAUCAUAUUGAUCAUUGCCUUAGAUGUGACUACCUAAGGGACAUGGGUGUGCAAAUUUUACUGAAUUUUUCAACUCUAAUUGAGAAGACACUUGGGGUAUAAUACAAGUUGGCUCAUGCUCUUCAUUUUCCAUACCCCAGUUUUCUCCUCAAUGUCCACUCCUUUAAGUUCAUCCAGUGGCAUGUGCACUUCUGGCUCUCCAUCAGUUUCAUCGUCCAUGUCAUAGCACCAAUUGUUUUGAGGGUGAUUAUUCAAGGCUUCGAAAAUUUGAUCCAUCUGAUUUUGUAUAUUUCGAAUUGACCUCUCUUGCUCAAUCAUCAUCUCCUCAGUUGAUGCUACAAAUUUGAACCCCAAAUCCUCCAAUCUUGAAUUAUCUUUUUCAGUUUCGAAAUCCAUGUAUUGAGGACCAUUCAUUGAG
rnacentral:lncRNA from 1 species